ensembl:lncRNA
GUAGUGGUUGUAACGUAUUAGUGGAGUAGUGGUUGUAACGUAUUAGUGGAGUAGUGGUUGUAACGUAUUAGUGGAGUAGUGGUUGUUACGUAUUAGUGGAGUAGUGGUUGUAACGUAUUAGUGGAGUAGUGGUUGUAACUAUUAGUGGAGUAGUGGUUGUAACUAUUAGUGGAGUAGUGGUUGUAACUAUUAGUGGAGUAGUGGUUGUAACUAUUAGUGGAGUAGUGGUUGUAACUAUUAGUGGAGUAGGGGUUGUAACGUAUUAGUGGAGUAGUGGUUGUAACGUAUUAGUGGAGUAGUGGGUGUAACUAUUAGUGGAGUAGUGGGUGUAACGCAUUAGAUGAAGCAGAAUUAUGAUACAGGUACGUCGGUUCACUGACAAGGUGAUGUCAUUUCAGAGUCGCCCACCAGGAGAAAGAUAUGGCCUCUUGUAGAGGUCAGCAUGUGUCAGUGUUGUGAUGUUUGAGCAGAGCCUACAGUCCUCUUUUUAUAUCUCAACAGAUCUGGGGAAGAGAGAUACGAUGACCCGUUCCCCUGACUGUAAGUAUUGAUCGGUCCCCUGACUGUAAGUAUUGAUCGGUCCCCUAACAGUAAGUAUUGAUCGGUCCCCUAACAGUAAGUAAGUAUUGAUCGGUCCCCUAACAGUAAGUAAGUAUUGAUCGGUCCUCUAACAGUAAGUAUUGAUCGGUCCCCUGACAGUAAGUAUUGAUCGGUCCCCUGACAGUAAGUAAGUAUUGAUCGUCCCCUAACAGUAAGUAAGUAUUGAUCGGUGAUCGGUCCCCUAACAGUAAGUGUUGAUCGGUCCCCUAACAGUAAGUAUUGAUCGGUCCCUAACUAACAGUAAGUGUAUUGAUCGGUCCCCUAACAGUAAGUAUUGAUCGGUCCCCUAACAGUAAGUAUUGAUCGGUCCCCUAACAGUAAGUAUUGAUCGGUCCCCUAACAGUAAGUAUUGAUCGGUCCCCUAACAGUAAGUAUUGAUCGGUCCCCUAACAGUAAGUAUUGAUCGGUCCCCUAACAGUAAGUAAGUAUUGAUCGGUCCCCUAACAGUAAGUAUUGAUCGGUCCCCUGACAGUAAGUAUUGAUCGGUCCCCUGACAGUAAGUAUUGAUCGGUCCCCUGACUGUAGGUAUUGAUUGGUUCCCUCUACAUAUGUUCAGUGGUGUCCUCUCCACUUGACAUCCAUGUCACCAGUCAGAUCUGAACCCUGGUCUCCUGCAUAUAAAACCAACACUUUAACCAAUAGGCCAAGAGGACAUUCUGUCUCAAGCGGAGGGUGACACGUAUUUUAUGCCUCAGGUAGUACCUCACCAGUAGAGCUUGAGUCCGACUCACCUCCACUACACACAGGGAUGAUCACCAAGGAAUAUGCAUGUCUUUUAAAGCUUGUUGUCUAACGGUCUGUUUCAGUAUCUGGUCUGGGGAUCAUUCAGCUGGGAAAGACUGGAGCAGGGAUGAGUGCAACCGGAAACACCAAACAGGUGUUUAUAGAAGAGUUCUCUUCUGAGUCUGUGACGACACAAUGUGAAGAUAUCCAGAGGAUGAAGAGGACAGCUUCAGACACUACUGAAACAGGAGGAGGAGGAGGAGCAGCAGCAGGAGUAGGUGCAGCAGCAG